GGAUUUGUAAGUGGCUGACUGCCCGAACCCAAAGGGUGCUCAUCAAUGGUUCCUCUUCAUCCUGGAGAAGAGUGACUAGUGGGGUGCCACAGGGUUCUGUCUUGGGCCCGGUCUUAUUCAACAUCUUUAUCAACGACUUGGAUGAUGGACUCAAGGGCAUCCUGAUCAAAUUUGCAGAUGACACCAAACUGGGAGGGAUGGCUAACACCCCAGAGGACAGGAUCACACUUCAAAACGACCUUGACAGAUUAGAGAACUGGGCCAAAACAAACAAGAUGAAUUUCAACAGGGAGAAAUGUAAAGUAUUGCACUUGGGCAAAAUAAAUGAGAGGCACAAAUACAAGAUGGGUGACACCUGGCUUGAGAGCAGUACAUGUGAAAAGGAUCUAGGAGUCUUGGUUGACCACAAACUUGACAUGAGCCAACAAUGUGACGCGGCAGCUAAAAAAGCCAAUGCAAUUCUGGGCUGCAUCAAUAGGAGUAUAGCAUCUAGAUCAAGGGAUGUAAUAGUGCCACUGUAUUCUGCUCUGGUCAGACCUCACCUGGAGUACUGUGUCCAGUUCUGGGCACCACAGUUCAAGAAGGACACUGACAAACUGGAACGUGUCCAGAGGAGGGCAACCAAAAUGGUCAAAGGCCUGGAAACGAUGUCUUAUGAGGAACGGCUAAGGGAGCUGGGCAUGUUUAGCCUGGAGAAGAGGAGGUUAAGGGGUGAUAUGAUAGCCAUGUUCAAAUAUAUAAAAGGAUGUCACAUAGAGGAGGGAGAAAGGUUGUUUUCUGCUGCUCCAGAGAAGCGGACAUGGAGCAAUGGAUCCAAACUACAAGAAAGAAGAUUCCACCUAAACAUUAGGAAGAACUUCCUGACAGUAAGAGCUGUUUGACAGUGGAAUUUGCUGCCAAGGAGUGUGGUGGAGUCUCCUUCUUUGGAGGUCUUUAAGCAGAGGCUUGACAACCAUAUGUCAGGAGUGCUCUGAUGGUGUUUUCUGCUUGGCAGGGGGUUGGACUCGAUGGCCCUUGUGGUCUCUUCCAACUCUAUGAUUCUAUGAUUCUAACACAAAUCUCAUUCAUUAUUGGGACAUUCUUGCAUUUAAAGUAUGAUCUUGGGAUGGCCAGAUUGGCCUAUAUGUCUUAAUCCAGGAAAGAGAAAGGAUCAUCAGCAAGGGAAACAACAACAACAACAAAUCAUUUGUACCCUGCCCAUCUGACUGGGUUGCUUCAGCCACUCUGGGCAGAAAUGGUACAGAAACAUCAUUUAUGGUAUAAAAAUAAUAGUACAGAGCCAUUGUGAAUAUUCACAAAUGUGUUGUUUGUAUGUUGUGGCUAUGGCAUUUGGAUAUCUGAGCCAAUUACAAGUUCCAAGAUACAAUUCCAGCUCAUCAUGGUCUCAGCUGGGUGUUAGCCUUCCCCUCAUUCACAGUGCUGUCUAAUUUAGACCUGAGAUUCUGCCAGAGGUGCAUCCUGGAUAGAAGAAUCCAUGGGUGAUAUUAGAAGGUUAGGGUUCAUGAAAACUACAUUUUCCACAAUAUCCUCCUGCUGAAAAUGAUGCAACAUAAUGAUGCCUAUCAGACAAUACAUCCAACAGUGCAAAAUUAGAGUGGGUGAAGCCUUGUUAGAGAUACCAAAAGUUCUACACUAGAGCAACCUUAUCUAGUCUGUGAAUUAGAGGGCAAGUCAGUUAGAUUCAGGAAUAAGCAACAGGAUCCUAGCUGGCUGGCACAGAACUUUUCCUACCUGUGUGGACCAGCACUUGGUAUUCAGAGGCAUUCUGCAAAACACAAUGAUCACGAGCCAUAUUACAAUUGCAGGAAUGAUGACAGCCCAUGCAGAUUAGCACUUCAUCAACCUGCUGAGAGGAUCAGCAUGUGAACUGGACCACAGUGAUUUUGUCUCUUCAUUUUCAUAUGGAGAGCAGUUUGCCUGCAAUUGUCUAAAGAUAUGCCAGGAAACCCUUUUAAAACCAGCAGUUGCUCCGACAUAGCAACUUCAGCCAUUUUCACAUGGGAUGAUGAAAAUGGCCCCCAUCUAGAAUACAUGGUGACAAAUCCCCCAUAUGAAUACUUUAGCAGAUAGCUGUGUGGAAAAACCCUGAACCAAAUGACUAUGCACAUUUCAAGGGUGAAGAAGGAGUGUCUUCUUCUUUGGCGAUCACUCGUAGCCAAGUAAGAUUACCUUCCAUAAACAUGGUUUUAACAAUGAGUCCGUAAGUGACUGUGGAGGUGAAUUCUGGAUCCACACAUCCUUCCACAGAGGGGACAUUGGUUUCCUGAUGGGAAUUGAUCACUGUGUGAAUUUGCCAAGUGUGCCUUCCUCUUAGCACAUUUCUCCCUUGCAUCCUGAGUUCGAGUGUCUUCAAAGCCCAUGACACCUUUGGUAAAGGCUGUUCUCCAGUUGGAGCACUCGCAGGCAAGUGUUUCCCAAUUGUUUGUGUUUAUACUACAUUUUUUUUAUAUUUGCCUUGAGAGAGUCUUUAAACCUCUUUUGUUGACUACCAGCACAGCACUUUCCAUUUUUAAGUUUGAAAUAGAGUAGUUGCUUUGGAAGAUGAUAAUCGGGCAUCUGCACAACAUGACCAGUCCAACGAAGCCGAUGUUGAAGAACACUGGUGAUCUUUGCUUCUUCCAGUACAGCGGAGACGCCGUUGAUGGAAUCUUUUUAGAAGUUGUAGAUGACGUUUAUAAGUUGUCCAUGUUUCACAAGCACACAGUAAGGUUGGUAGUACAAUAGCUUUGUAAACAAGCAUCUUGGUUUCCCUGCAAAUGUCCCAGUCCUCAAACACUCUGCACCUCAAUCGGUAGAAAGCCACACUCACAGAGCUAAGGUGAUGCUGAAUUUCAAUGUCGGCCCUUGUGGAAAGAUAACUGCCCAGGUAGGAGAAGUGACCGACAUUUUCCAACGUUACACCAUUGAGUUGGAUUUGUGGCACUGCAGAGGGGUUAUUUUGUACUUGUUGGCACAGCACCUUGGUUUUUUGGAUGUUGAAUGAUGGGUCAAGCUUUUCAUAAACUUCUGCAAAGAUAUUUAGGGUGGUUUGGAGGCCAUCCUCUGAAAGUGCACACACUACGUUGUCAUCAGCAUACUGCAGCUCUAUAACGGAAGUUACGGUAACCUUACUCUUUGCUUUCAGCCUGCUCAGAUUAAAGAGCUUUCCAUCUGUUUGAUAUAUGAUUUCUACUCUGGUGGGGAGUUUCCAUUCGACAAAGUGUAGGAUCAUGGCAAUGAAAAUAAUGAAUAGAGUUGGGGCAAUAACACAACCCUGUUUGACACCUGAUCCCACUGUGAAUGGUUCACUUUGAGAGCCAUUGUUAUCUGCAAUUGUUGCUGUCAUAUUAUCAUGAAGGAGUCAAAUGAUGUUCACAAAUUUAUCUGGGCAGCCAAUUUUCAGAAGGAUAGUCCACAGGGCAUUACGAUUUAAAGUGUCAAAAUCCUUAGUCAGGUCAAUAAACUGCAUAUACAGGGGUUGGUUUUUCUCUCUGCAUCCAACAGUACAAAAUUAAAGGGGUUGAUUUCUUGUUAGAGAUACCAAAAGUUCUACACUAGAGCAACCUUAUCUAGUCUGUGAACUAGAGGGCAAGUCAGUUAGAUGCAGGCAUUUUGACUCUCCUCAGGAAUAAGCAACAGGAUACUGGCUGUCUGUCACAGAACUCUUCCUACUUGUGUUGACCGGCAGUUGGUAUUCAGAGGCAUUCUGCAAAACACUAUCAUCAUGAGCCAUACAGUGGUACCUCCGGUUAAGUACUUAAUUCGUUCCGGAGGUCUGUACUUUACCUGAAACUGUUCUUAACCUGAAGCACCACUUUAGCUAAUAGGGCCUCUUGCUGCUGCUGCGCCGCCGGAGCACGAUUUCUGUUCUCAUCCUGAAGCAAAGUUCUUUACCCAAGGUACUAUUUCUGGGUUAGCGGAGUCUGUAACCUGAAGCGUAUGUAACCCGAGGUACCACUGUAUUCCAGUUGCAGGAAUGAUGGCAGCCCAUGCAGAUUAACACUUCAUCAACCUGCUGAGAGGAUCAGCAUGUGAACUGGACCACAAUGAUUUUGUCUCUUCAUUUUCAGGUGGGGAGAGCAGUUUACCUGAAAUUGUUUAAAGAUAUUAUGUCAGAGAAAGCCUUUCAAAACCAACAGUUGCUCUGACAUAGCAACUGCAGCCAUUUUCACAUGGGGAUCAUGAAAAUGGCUCCCAUCUAGAAUAAAUGGCGACAAAUCCCCGAUAUGAAUACUUUAGCACAUAGCUGUGCGAAUAUACCCUGAACCAAAUGACUAUGCAAGGGUGAAGAAGGCAUGUAGCUCCAUGGUAGAUCAAUUGCUUUGUGUGCAGAUUCUGUCCCUGGCAUUUUCAGGUUGGGAUGGAAGAAACCCAUGUCUGAAAUCCUGGAGAGUCAUUUGUCAGUCAGUAUAGAGUCGACUGCAGACCAAUGGUCUGGCAUGGUAUAAGUUCUUCAUAGGUUCUUGUAUUCAAACAUAACUGGACAUAAAAUAUUGGCCCUUGUUAAAAUGUUCCAGUCCUGCUUUCAGAUAUUUGGGUAAGUUUAAUUUUAGAAGAAAUUGUUUCUAUAAUUUUCUAAACAAUUAAAAUAAAAUAUUCUUGCUUCUCAGUUCACAUUCUGCUUAAUGUCCAAGCCUUUUGAUCUAGAUCAACCUUCCAAAACCUGGUGCUCUUGAGGGAUGCAACAAUAUCCAGCAUACCUGUUCAUUGGCCAUGCUAGCUUGUGCUGAUGGACACACUAGGACAAGAUAUCGGGAGGAUAUCAGAUUUGGAAAGAUUGAUCUAGAUUUAUAUAAAUAUAUAUAUAUCUACCUUUACUUACCCCCAACCUAG